rnacentral:rRNA from 1 species
GACGAACGCUGGCGGCGUGCCUAAUACAUGCAAGUCGAGCGCAGGAAGCCGUCUGAACCCUUCGGGGGGAUGACGGUGGAAUGAGCGGCGGACGGGUGAGUAACACGUAAAGAACCUGCCCAUAGGUCUGGGAUAACCACGAGAAAUCGGGGCUAAUACCGGAUGUGUCAUCGGACCGCAUGGUCCGCUGAUGAAAGGCGCUCCGGCGUCGCCCAUGGAUGGCUUUGCGGUGCAUUAGCUAGUUGGUGGGGUAACGGCCCACCAAGGCGACGAUGCAUAGCCGACCUGAGAGGGUGAUCGGCCACACUGGGACUGAGACACGGCCCAGACUCCUACGGGAGGCAGCAGUAGGGAAUCUUCCACAAUGGACGAAAGUCUGAUGGAGUAACGCCGCGUGAACGAUGAAGGCUUUCGGGUCAUAAAGUUCUGUUGUAAGGGAAGAACAAGUGCCGCAGGCAAUGGCGGCACCCUGACGGUACCUUGCGAGAAAGCCACGGCUAACUACGUGCCAGCCGCCGCGGUAAUAC